rnacentral:lncRNA from 1 species
CGCUGCCGCCAGCCUCCUCCCGCUCACCUUCGCCGUCCUCCUGGGCUUCGCCCACUGUCGGCCGGACUCGGCGGCUAGGCUGGAGCCGGGGGCCGGGGGAGCGGCGCGGCUACGGAGCCGCGGGGCUGCCCUGGGGGCGGUGGGCACGGCGAACGGCCUGUCCCCGGCGUCCCGGUCCCCUCCACCGUCACGGCCCCUCCCCGCAGCCCUCCACGUGGAUCGCGGCUCCGCGGCCGCCGCGGGGAGCCCGAGCGGUGCCGACGGCCGGAGGCAUCGUCCCGAUCGCGGGCUGCCCACGCCCCGGGGCCAAGCGGGAGAUGCCGGGCUCGGUCCCGGCGUGGGACAGAGGAGCAGGCAGGACUCCUCCCGCCAGCGGCAGGGCGGCGGGCUGAAGGCGCGAGUGGUGCCCCGGGCGAAGGAGCCAAGCGGCAGAGGGAGGAUGGCGGGGCUCUGCUGCACUUUCUGCCUCUGCUCUGCACUGGAAGAUCAAGGCUGAGGAUACAGAGUUUUCUGCAAUCCCCAUGAACUUCAGUUCUGCAAAGUACCUGUAAUGGCUUUCUGUCUGUUCUGGAGUCCAAAGCAUCACUUUUGAAGCUUCUCUGUAACUUGCUAUCUUCGGAGCUUAAGAGGAAGCCCAGCUGAAACAAUUGUGCAUAAGUAACCACAUGCUCCUCAUGGAAAGUUAGCUGUUGCUGCCUCCAGCCAUUCUGGGAGACUCUGUCCUUCCACCUCAUCCAUCUUCUUACACCCCUUGCUGCACCAGACACAUUUUCAUCCAGGAAACUCAGGGCCCCUAAAAAACUUCUGUUUGUGAUGUUUCAUUUUUUUGCCAGGUGGGAUAUUUUCUGUUCUGCUAUUUACACUGAACUCCUGUUAGUCUCUGGUAUGACAACCUUCAUUUUCCCUUACUCAGGUAACUUUGCAGGUACACGAAACCCUGGUACUAUUUAUUUAUACAAUUAUUUUGGCUAAAAUUUGCAACUCCUGCAUGUGUUGCCUUUCCAGAUUCCCCAGUCAGAGCUCUCUGCUGGUACCUUCAGGGGCCCUAUGGAGUUCUGUGGUUGCAAAAACCCAUUUAUUGGCACUCUGUUUUUCUAGAUAAGUAUUUUCUCACCUUGUCAGAUAGGUGCAUACCCAAGAUUGAGUUUCUUUCCUGGGUUUUUCUUUCUUUUCUUUGGAUGCCAUCCUGCUCAUGUCUGACCUUUUUGCAGGUGUGAGUUGUACAAACAAUUUGAUAAAUGCAUCCAACUUUAAGACUUGCAAGAGCUGGGUUUUAGUAUUUUCCCCAGAAGACUUGCUGCGAGGUGACUUUUGAUAUCCCAGCAAACAUCACAGAAAAUGACUGAAUUCUGACCCUGAGUGAAGAAAAUAAUCCAGCCCUGAAAACAUCACUGCUCUGCUCUGCUCAGUUUAACAUCCCUAUUUCUCCAGCUCCCCUGACUAGAAGGAUUUUCCUCUCAAGUGUUGUGGGAUUAGGGUAACCACGACACAUGCCA